rnacentral:rRNA from 1 species
UGGCUCAGGACGAACGCUGGCGGCGUGCUUAACACAUGCAAGUCGAACGAUGAACCACUUCGGUGGGGAUUAGUGGCGAACGGGUGAGUAACACGUGGGCAAUCUGCCCUGCACUCUGGGACAAGCCCUGGAAACGGGGUCUAAUACCGGAUACUGACCCGCUUGGGCAUCCAAGCGGUUCGAAAGCUCCGGCGGUGCAGGAUGAGCCCGCGGCCUAUCAGCUUGUUGGUGAGGUAAUGGCUCACCAAGGCGACGACGGGUAGCCGGCCUGAGAGGGCGACCGGCCACACUGGGACUGAGACACGGCCCAGACUCCUACGGGAGGCAGCAGUGGGGAAUAUUGCACAAUGGGCGAAAGCCUGAUGCAGCGACGCCGCGUGAGGGAUGACGGCCUUCGGGUUGUAAACCUCUUUCAGCAGGGAAGAAGCGAAAGUGACGGUACCUGCAGAAGAAGCGCCGGCUAACUACGUGCCAGCAGCCGCGGUAAUACGUAGGGCGCGAGCGUUGUCCGGAAUUAUUGGGCGUAAAGAGCUCGUAGGCGGCUUGUCACGUCGGUUGUGAAAGCCCGGGGCUUAACCCCGGGUCUGCAGUCGAUACGGGCAGGCUAGAGUUCGGUAGGGGAGAUCGGAAUUCCUGGUGUAGCGGUGAAAUGCGCAGAUAUCAGGAGGAACACCGGUGGCGAAGGCGGAUCUCUGGGCCGAUACUGACGCUGAGGAGCGAAAGCGUGGGGAGCGAACAGGAUUAGAUACCCUGGUAGUCCACGCCGUAAACGGUGGGCACUAGGUGUGGGCGACAUUCCACGUCGUCCGUGCCGCAGCUAACGCAUUAAGUGCCCCGCCUGGGGAGUACGG